rnacentral:lncRNA from 1 species
UUUCGUAUUUUUCAGCCAAAUGGAUGGACAUAAUUUUGUGAUUCAGACUGUGUAGCAGUGUUACCAGUUUUUGUUCAAUUAAUCCAGGAAGACUGAAUAACAUAAAUCCGCAAAUCACAUUUGAGAAACAUCUUUCCAAGUCUAUAUAUUAAAAAAAAAAAGAGGCAAUCAACCUUUGCCAGUUGCAUUCAAAUACUGGGUUUGGAAAGGAUAAACCGACUGAAUAGUCAGAAUGUGAACCACUGAAGGGAGACAAGUUGGAGAGGAAGCUGGUACAUUACUCACGAAUGAAUCAGACAUCCCCUCCCUCCGUGUUUGAAAAUGUCCUCGGCAUAAAGCAUGGUACAAUUCCAAACGAGGAACUAUGCUCAGGAUUGGAUUUAUAUGACUGAUCAGUUUCCUCUGCUGUUAUCGAAAGCAGAUAUCAAAUGGCUGUGGAGGAAUGCAGGUGAUUGGAGUUGGUCCAAAGGGAAGUUGUGAGUUCUGGGAGGCAGAAGGAAAGCAGCUGCCAUGUUCUGAAGGUUAUCAGCACCUGUUGGUGAUAGAAACAGACACAGAGGUGUUAGCAGGUUCCUGUUUGUCCUCGCACCCCCCUCCCUCCUGAUGGUGACCUUGUCCCAGGUCUUCUACCAGGCCUUCUACCAGAUGCUUUGCUGAGAAUUCACAGAGGCCGUAGACCUGAAGAACCAACAACCUUCCAUAGGCUUUGAGGUCCCACUCCGGCAGCAGGACGUGCUGGCUCCCAGGAAUCACUGACAUCAAGGCGUGUAAAAUAACACAAAGAGGUUUGCAAAGUCCAGCUGAAGGGAGCCGGAGCGUCCUGUUUUUACCAUCACGCUUCGUUGUUCACGUUGCUUGUGUGUAAAACAGGGUACAGUAUUUAGAAACGGUGAAGGAAAUGACUGGCCUAAAACUCUUGUGAUUCAGUGACUCAAGGAUGAUUGACACUGUGUAAAAACAGGCACAUUAGACCAAGAG